rnacentral:rRNA from 1 species
UACAGAGGUCUCAAGCGUUGUUCGGAUUCAUUGGGCGUAAAGGGUGUGUAGGUGGCGCGCUAAGUCGGGUGUGAAAUUUCGGAGCUUAACUCCGAAACUGCAUUCGAUACUGGCGUGCUUGAGGACUGGAGAGGAGACUGGAAUUUACGGUGUAGCAGUGAAAUGCGUAGAUAUCGUAAGGAAGACCAGUGGCGAAGGCGGGUCUCUGGACAGUUCCUGACACUGAGACACGAAGGCCAGGGGAGCAAACUGG